UUUGAAUGACGUCAGUCUUGAGACACCGCCUACAAAUUCCAAUAAUGGCCUCGGCGUGCCGAGCUUCACCCCCACUGCUAUAAUGUGAAGAGGACACGCCCACUGCCAGGCCCAUGACCUAAUUUCCGCCCGUGGAUGCUUUUUAACCGACCCCGUAGCUGUAGGAGGGCCUCUUUCCUUGCGGCGUGCUCUGAGGGAAGGUAAAACCAUGGCGGUCCUUUUCACAUCAGGAUGGGAGCUGAGGUUGUCAUCAGGACACCUGAGAAGCUGGAUGAGACGUCCUCACUGAACUGGAUCAGUCACAGGUACAACAUAGGUGCAGGACACAAAUCAUCAGUAUGGGAUCUGAGGUUGUGAUGGGAGAAAAAGCUUGAGCAACGUUCUAUGGAGCUGGGUCACUUACAGGCUCAUGGAGAAGGUGUUGGCUGGAGGACAUGGGGCAGGAAUGUUCAAAGGUCUUGAAGACUGAAAAGUUCAGCAAACUCCAGAGCAGGCUAAUAUGGAGAAAAGGCUGUCCUAGGAUUAUGAAGCCGUAAAACCAUUGUCAAACUGGGAUUUGGAUUGCAGUAGAGAACACCCAGCUUCCACUUGGUCCAAAUGCAAGACUCUGCCAUUGGGCUAUUGCAUUUCUUUGUAUAAUCUUUGCCGAAUAAACUCAACCUGUUUUUAAAUGUC